AUUGAACGCUGGCGGCAGGCCUAACACAUGCAAGUCGAACGGUAACAGGAAGCAGCUUGCUGCUUCGCUGACGAGUGGCGGACGGGUGAGUAAUGUCUGGGAAACUGCCUGAUGGAGGGGGAUAACUACUGGAAACGGUAGCUAAUACCGCAUAACGUCGCAAGACCAAAGAGGGGGACCUUAGGGCCUCUUGCCAUCGGAUGUGCCCAGAUGGGAUUAGCUAGUAGGUGGGGUAACGGCUCACCUAGGCGGCGAUCCCUAGCUGGUCUGAGAGGAUGACCAGCCACACUGGAGCUGAGACACGGUCCAGACACCGACGGGAGGCAGCGGUGGCGACUAGUGCACAAUGGGCGGAAGCCUGAUGCAGCCAUGCCGCGUGGAUGAAGAAGGCCUUCGGGUUGUAAAGUACUUUCAGCGGGGAGGAAGGGAGUAACGUUAAUACCUGUGCUCAUUGACGUUACCCGCAGAAGAAGCACCGGCUAACUCCGU
rnacentral:rRNA from 1 species